UACGGGGGGGGCAAGCGUUGUUCGGAAUUACUGGGCGUAAAGGGCUCGUAGGUGGCCAACUAAGUCAGACGUGAAAUCCCUCGGCUUAACCGGGGAACUGCGUCUGAUACUGGAUGGCUUGAGUUCGGGAGAGGGAUGCGGAAUUCCAGGUGUAGCGGUGAAAUGCGUAGAUAUCUGGAGGAAGACCAGUGGCGAAGGCGGGUCUCUGGACAGUUCCUGACGCUGAGGCACGAAGGCCAGGGGAGCAAACGGG
rnacentral:rRNA from 1 species